rnacentral:sRNA from 1 species
GCACCUGCAAAAUCAGGUGUCGGGAUUAGCCUCCUGGAUGUUACCCUUACUGGCGACACAAUGGCGCGUCCGCGCCUUUUUU